rnacentral:rRNA from 1 species
UACGUAGGUGGCUAGCGUUGUCCGGAUUUACUGGGCGUAAAGAGCGCGCAGGCGGUCGUUCAAGUCGAGUGUGAAAGCCCCCGGCUCAACUGGGGAGGGUCAUUCGAUACUGCUCGACUUGAAGGCAGGAGAGGGAAGUGGAAUUCCCGGUGUAGUGGUGAAAUGCGUAGAUAUCGGGAGGAACACCGGUGGCGAAGGCGGCGACCUGGGUGGAUACUGACGCUGAGGUGCGAAAGCGUGGGGAGCAAACAGG